rnacentral:rRNA from 1 species
UACAGAGGGGGCAAGCGUUGUUCGGAAUUACUGGGCGUAAAGGGCGCGUAGGCGGCGCGGUAAGUCACUUGUGAAAUCUCUGAGCUUAACUCAGAACGGCCAAGUGAUACUGCAGUGCUAGAGUGUGGAAGGGGCAAUCGGAAUUCUUGGUGUAGCGGUGAAAUGCGUAGAUAUCAAGAGGAACACCUGAGGUGAAGACGGGUUGCUGGCCCGAUACUGACGCUGAGGUGCGAAAGCGUGGGGAGCAAACAGG